rnacentral:rRNA from 1 species
UACAGAGGUCUCAAGCGUUGUUCGGAUUCAUUGGGCGUAAAGAGCUCGUAGGCGGCUGUUCAAGUCGAACGUGAAAACUCGGAGCUCAACUCCGAGCCUGCGUUCGAUACUGGAUGGCUAGAGUCUGGUAGGGGGAUCUGGAAUUCCUGGUGUAGCGGUGGAAUGCGCAGAUAUCAGGAGGAACACCGGUGGCGAAGGCGGGAUCCUGGGCCAGUACUGACGCUGAGGAGCGAAAGCGUGGGGAGCGAACAGG